CUCCUCCUCCUUGUCCUUCUCCAGUCCUCUUCCUGUCCUCCUUCACCUAGAUCCACACCUCCAUCCACCUAUGCACCUUCCCAGCCCUUAGCUCUAGAGGACAGACUGGAGAUUUGGCCCCCUGGCGUGGUUGUAGAAGGGACUUGACAGAAGAGAUUGAGAUGGCAUCUGUUGAAAAUCAGAUAAUCAAACUCAAAAGGUUUUGAGCUGGAAAGGGCCCUGAGAAUCCUUUAACACGUUUUACAGAAACUGAGGCAGAGAGAGGUGUGAAAGUCACCAAAGUUACACAGUCUCGAAGAAAAACAACCAGGAUUCAAAGGCCGGUUGCUGCGGCUGUAAAUGCCAUGCUCUUCCCACCACACACACCCUAAUUCAUAAUGCUUGGCGCCCAAAAAGAGCAUUCAUAGUACGGUAAAAGAUCUGGAAGACUUUACAAAUGAAAGAACCUGGAUUGAAGUGCUUUAUCCAGGAUCAGAGAUCACUGGGCUUGGAGUAAGGAAAACCUUGGUUUCAAAAUCCUAUUCUCUCUGACAUUCAACUGGCUGUGUGAUCUUGGAUACUUUGUGAUCUGCAUUGCUGGAAUGAGAUGCUGAAUUCAUGAAACUACUAAAGUGUUGAAGUGAAUUAACUCUAGUUGAUAAAUCAAUCAAUGAGAAGCACACUCAGAAAGGAGCCAUAAUCAUUGACCUCUGGGGAUGCAACCUACCAAUGCCAGUGGAGGUUGGAGAGAACUCCUACCAUACAAAAGAAAAUAUUGACACUUCCUUCUGAGGGCUAAACUUGUUUCAGUUUCCUCUCUUCUCAAACUGGGAAAACUACAAAUCCCAAAGAUUUUGUGGACAGCCAACUCCUUGCCAAAGGUAAUAAUCAAAGUCUCCCUUGGAGAAGAGUGGGCAUGACUCCAGAGAUAUCUACCCAUGUUGCAUUUAGAUAACCCAUGAAUGAGGCUAUGUAUAAACUGAAUUGGCAAAACAUACCUUACACAAGCAAAGAAAAUAAAAAGGGGGAAAUGUAUACCCACCAAAUGUGUUUACCUCUGUCACAAAGGAUGUCCUGUGCAGAGUCCAAUAGAAGAGGGAUUCUCUAUGGACAAUGACAUCCUCCAGAUGUUCCUGUUUAUAGCUGAUAAUGUGCUGAUUGCA